rnacentral:lncRNA from 1 species
GGACAAUUAAGUUCAAUUUAGCUUUGCAGCUGAUUUUUAAUUAUUGAUAUAUUCACAAAGCAGGCAGAAUGCUGUAGGUUUUGCUUCUUGUCCUGAUUUGGGUGCAUGCAGUUACUCCAGGUGGCAUCACAUGUGACAGGAUAGAGUCAGUCCCUUGCUCUCAGCUUUGGAAUUGGAGCAGUUCUGACCCCACAUUGUGAUCUGAGCAGACACUCAUUGCCAAAACAACCAGAUGCUCAUUUUGUUGUAUCUGUACAUGGUAUUUGCUUCUUACCCAAACAAAUUAUCCUAAUGGACCCAGGCCUAGCUUUAGACCUAAACACUAACUGCAGCCAGAAAGAAGAAAGUCAAGGGCAGAUCUGAGCUUUUUCUUAAGGUUUUGGUUGAGGUUUGACUUUUAUGUUUUGUUUUUGUUUGCGUUUUUCUUCCCCGCUUAGGUUUUACGCUCCUGAAAAAGUGAAAAAUUAUUGGAGGCAGUAGGAGCACAAGGAGCACAGUUUUAAAAGCUGAGAGCAAUGAAGAUGGUAGAGGAAGAAGACAGAAAUCUCCAAAGACACAGGUUGAAUGGUAAAGAUGGCCUGGUAGAAAAGACUCAGGAUAGCCUGAAAAUGCAAGGCCAAAUAAGGGGGAAAGUACUACUUUUGCAGUUUAGAAACUACCACAGAAGAAGGCAAAGCCAGAAGCUGGUGGUUUGACCUGUGGAUGCAAUUGAGAAAGUAUGCCUCGGUGGAGCUGAUGUGAAGCACUUGUUUAUGCACACCUUUAAAAUGUUAUAAUGAAAACAGAUCUAAUGUAAAGGAGUGCAUGUGUGAGACAGAGGGGAUGAAUUUUUAAACCUGAUCCUCUGAAGUUUUUGAGGAGUGACAUAGGCUGAGAGAACAGGAAGAAUACAGAGGUGCACUGUAUCAAAAUGCAGACCUGAUGAAGCUUUGUGAUGGAAAAAAAUUCUCUCUUCCCUUCAUACAUUUUAGGGUAGAAGUCGGAUCCCAAAACAUGUUAUUGUGACUUCUUGUUGUGACUUGUUGGUUAAUGGUGGAUUGUUUCCCAGGAACAUAGAAACUCUUUAGUCUGGAACAACAAAACUUCUAAAUAAAUAAUUGUGCAUUACAUAAGGCUUUCA